rnacentral:pre_miRNA from 1 species
UUAAUACUCACUCCGUCCAACAAAGGAUGUCUCAAGUUUGUCAAAGUUUGUCAAAAACAUGACUUAGUGUACAGAUGCAUUCAAAUUUAGUCAAAGUUGAGACAUCCUUUGUUGGACGGAUGGAGUAUUAG